rnacentral:lncRNA from 1 species
GGUGGAAGGAUUAUCUGACUUUGAAGAGGUCUUUCUUUACAAAGAAAUGUGACUAGGAGCAGCCAGGGUCAGCCUGACAAGGUUAAAGGAUGGAGCCUCCCAUCUUAGUUUGUUCUUCAGCUUUCUCUCCUAAGUUAGUCAGUAGUCAGUCAACACGCACUGUUCCAGAUUUGGUGUGAGACAACUUUAGCUACUUUUAUAGAACAAGUUCAUGGGUGCAAUUUAGAGCUACAACAAUUGUGGCAAGUGACCAGGGCAAGGAACCCAGGACUCCAUUCUGUCCCAAGAUGGCAUGUUCAAAGUUCCAAGCAUAGUGUUGAUGAAGAUGAACACACUAUGCAUAAGAAGCCCUAUUCAGAACAAGGGAUUCUCAUCUUUUCAUGCAAUUAAAUUGGUCAGACCACUCUUGGGUACAUCCUUACUUCUAAAAAAUGGAGAUAAUACUGUUGAGGGUUUUCCAAGCUCCUGGGGGAAUCACACUCUUAGACCUGGACUGUACCCAAUCACCCUCCACCCCUCAACUGCCAUUUCCCCUGUGCAAAAUGCAUCAUGGGCACUACUCACAUUUUGUGUGCCUGUCACAAAGGGCUGAUGCCCUCAUGUCACACAGUCGGAUUGUCCCUUUACUGCUGCUGUAUACAAAGGUGUUGCAGUGGAGUGGGUGGAAUUCUGCCGCCGUUAUGACCUCCGUGAGCUCCUCCAUGUUGGCUGGCUUAAUGUCCACGAUAUCUGACACAGGCAGGUCAAGGAAGGAACCAGAUACAAGGGUGUUUCAAAGAUAUCCUUGUCCAUGGGAAACUUUAUAAUGACCAUCAACGUCUGACCUACAGGGCGGAGAGCAAUUUGAGGAAGAAGCAAUUAGGUGUUUGGAUACCUGUGUUUAAAGAACACUCUACAAGGCAACAGGAAAAAUAGGACCUGUAGGCACCGCCCAUCAUUCCAGGACAUUGUCCGGUGCUUGGAAUUUCCCAGGGCUACUGAAGUGGGGGAGGGAGCACGACAGCUGGAUCAGGCACCUCCAGAACAUAGAAACUGCCAGGCCAGAAUCUCCACUUAAUGUGAUGAGCCUGUCUGAUAAUUCAGACUGACACAUUCAAUGAGGCAUUAUUUCCCAUUGAAAGUCUCUGGGUAGCCACUGAGGUGUGGGGGCUCAGGUUUUGCCAAGAGAGGAUGGGAAGUGACCCGUUGUGGAUACCUUCCUCUACUAUCUGUGGUGCAAAAGUAAAGGUCUGACUUGUGGGGUCCCCACACAUGGAGUAAAAGAAGGAUGUGACAGCCAGACACAUAAAUUGGGGUGAGGGAGGGGUGGAUAUGCUCUGAAUAAAACUGCUAUUUCCUACCUGCUCUGGCCAUCAUUUCUCCAAAAGACAAGAAGUUAUCCUUCCCAAAUAUAGGAAU